rnacentral:pre_miRNA from 1 species
AUGUGAAUUGUCUGGGGAAUCUUGUUAGAAUAAAGAAUCUGGCUCAGCAGUGCUGGGCUGGGCCUCAGAUUCUGCAUUUCUAACAAGCUCCCAGGUGAUGCUGAU